AGCAUCAGGGCGCCCAUCGCUCGCCCGGGAGUUGGCGCGGGGCCGCUCGGCGGCAGGGACGGUGUGGACCUCCAGGGCGGGAAACUCGCCCAAGCAACGAAUCCUUAGGAACCGGCGAGCCGCGGCGCUGGGGCGGCGUGUGGCGGCGGGUAGAGUCGGCGAGACGGCUGAGCGCGCCGGCCGCCGCGGAGGACUCGCACGUUAAGGACUGGUUCUCUGGGAUCGCGUGGGCUCAGUGCAGCAUCAGCCACUGCUCCUGAGAAUCAAGGAUGGCUGUAUCUACCUAUGAUGUGCAGUGAGGAAGGAGAGUGGUGCAGGAAGCCCUCAGCCUGAUACACAGCUGAAGGCUAGACAGUGGACAAGAACACGAUGGAAAAUGCAAAGAUCAAUUCAUCAGGCCUUCAAUGAAAAGCUGCACCAUUAGAGGAUGUGUGGAAUGCGAAGGAUGUACUGGACUUUGUUCCUGUGCUCAGGGAUCUUCGGAAGAACAGAAUUGUGAAACAACUGGAUGUUAUUUGCGACCUAAACCACAGACUGCAAAUUCAACUGCUUACCAGGACCUGGCAGAAAGCAGACCUAGCUGGAGUGAGGAGCAUGGAUGAGGAAGGGGAAGCCCUGCUCUCUUUCAGCACGUGCUUCAAAAGCAUCACCUUCUCAUUGCCUGUGAAGGGAAUUCUGAAAGCUGUCAGAGAAAGUAACGGGAAAUUUAUGACUUAAACAUCAGUGGACAGAUGCA